UUCGGAAAGGGAGCUUUAUUUUCACUGCUUCCUCUAAUUUUUCCCGUCCUCUUUUUUACCCGCCAUCUCCAGUUCCCACUCCAAUAUUCUAUCACUCUUCUUCUCAAAUCGCUAAAUUUCUGGUCAAAUUCAGAUCUAAGAUGGAGGGUGGCUAGGAUUCUUAGUAUAACUUUGGUUUGGAAGAUGAGGUGGAGGUGAAAGCUUCAAUUUGGGGUUAUCUUGGCAAUCUUGUUGUUAGAGGCCUUCAUCUAAAACUCUUGAAAUCCGAAGGUAGCUUCUAUGAUGUUAUUAACACUUCAAAUUCAUGAGCUAGGGAUGGCUCGGGUUAGCUUCUCAUGAAUGCUACUUUUGUAUGCUA